ACUACCCGCUGAACUUAAGCAUAUCAAUAAGCGGAGGAAAAGAAACCAACAGGGAUUGCCUCAGUAACGGCGAGUGAAGCGGCAAAAGCUCAAAUUUGAAAUCCCCCGGGAAUUGUAAUUUGAAGAGAUUUGGGUCCGGCCGGCAGGGGUUAAGUCCACUGGAAAGUGGCGCCACAGAGGGUGACAGCCCCGUGAACCCCUUUAAAGCCCUCAUCCCAGAUCUCCAAGAGUCGAGUUGUUUGGGAAUGCAGCUCUAAGUGGGUGGUAAAUUCCAUCUAAAGCUAAAUACCGGCGAGAGACCGAUAGCGAACAAGUACAGUGAUGGAAAGAUGAAAAGCACUUUGAAAAGAGAGUGAAAAAGUACGUGAAAUUGUUGAAAGGGAAGGGCUUGCAAGCAGACACUUAACUGGGCCAGCAUCGGGGCGGCGGGAAACAAAACCACCGGGGAAUGUACCUUUCGAGGAUUAUAACCCCGGUCUCAAUUUCCUUGUUGCCCCGAGGCCUGCAAUCUAAGGAU
rnacentral:rRNA from 1 species